UAAGAAACAAGUUUAAGGUGGAAGGAAGGAUGAAGUAGGACGGAUAGAAAGGCAAAUAUAUCCAGGCAGUAGAACUAGUAUACACCACAAUAUAACAUCUAGGCAUUCAAGCAGUAAACACUUCAAGCAACAGUACUUAGUUCGGACCUGUAGUGCAAUAUUGUGACAAUCUCAUACAGAAAUUAAGAAGACUCAAGAUUAAUCGAGUUUUACGGGGAAAAUAUGCUAGAAAUUCAAUAUGGCGCUCAACGAAGAGUUUAAUAGAAGAGGCGGCCGGAGGACGUGAGGCCUGGUUCAGUCAAGGCCAACCUCUGAGCGUUGAGGAUGUAAACUACCAGCCUCGGAGGAGAAAUCUACGAAAUUAUUUCAUAUAAAUCCACGAGAUGAAUGUACACUAAACGUUGUUGAGAUGAAUAAGCUUGGUAAAGUGUUGAGCUGGAAUGAAUAUUAGGAUUAUAUUUAGGAUAAUUAUUCAGUUUGAUACGAGAUGGUCGUUUACAGAGUUAGUUCUUCAAUAUCUUAUAGAACUAGAACUAUCAUCACACAACAUUUUUUACUCCUCAAUCCUCCAUAGAUAGAUAUAGAUCUAGAACUCUCCACUCUUCUAUCCUCCAAAGAUAGUUAUAGAUCUUGAACUCUCCACUCUUCAAUCCUCCAAAGAUAGAUAAAGAUAUAAAAUUGCAAAACUCAAGAUUAAAUAUUAUUUAUUCUUUGUGUAAACAUCAGGCUUUCCUUGACUAAUUAUGAAGCUACAGGUCCUGAUAAGCAACCCUAUUUAAAUGUAUGUUAAACAUCUAGUCUAUCAACCUUUCAUUAAAUUCCGAGCUUCCCAAUCUGUCAUUUUAAUCUAAAUACCUCUCUCAUUAAUCAAUGUAAUAUAAGAUUAAAAUUUAUCAAUCAACAUUUAUAAUUAUUGUUAAACUUUGUGAUUUUCUCUUGUAUUUGUUUAUAUUUGUUACAAUAUAUGAUGGU